GACGAACGCUGGCGGCGUGCUUAACACAUGCAAGUCGAACGGUGAACCUCUUCGGUGGGGCUCCGUGGCGAACGGGUGAGUAACACGUGGGCAACCUGCCCCCGGCUCUGGGAUAACUCCAAGAAUUUGGGGCAAAUAACGGAUGUUCACCGCUUCUCGCAUGGGUGGUGGUGGAAAGGGUUUCCGGCUGGGUAUGGGCUCGCGGCCUAUCAGCUUGUUGGUGUGGUCGUGGCCUACCAAGGCGACGUCGGGUAGCCGGCCUGAGGUGGUGACCGACCGCACUGGGACUGAGGGGCGGCCCAGGUACCUAAGGGAGGCAGCAGUGGGGAAGAUUGCGCGAGGGACGGAAGCCUGACGCAGAGACUCCGCGUGGGGGAUAACGGCCUUCGGGGUGUAGACCUAUUGCAGCAGGAACGAAGCGCAAGUGACGGUACCUUCAGAAGAAAGACCGGGCAACUACGUG
rnacentral:rRNA from 1 species